UCUGGCCCGUGCAUCGCGGUCUCUGCCCGAACCGGCCCUGGCGUACUUCCCCAACGCCAGGUCCGCGCUCUCGGACAGGGACCCCGAUGCAGGGGCGUGGAACG
rfam:Mycobacterium sp. GA-1999 GCID_NTM_00005_NODE_12.ctg_1, whole genome shotgun sequence.